GGUAGCUAAUAUGCCGGGACCCUGGCCACCAGAGGAAAAAAAGAGGUCCACACGGAGGCACGUCCUCUUGGGUCUGGGGAGAAAACGGACGGCAAGCAGAAAACGGUGACUGACCCCAAGGAGUGGAGGACUGGAGUGGGAGCAUCUGAGACCUCCCUGCGCGACCCGGGGCGAUGAGGUGGGCAGAGCAGGAGCUAACACGCCCACGCCACCGAAGAGGGAGCGGAAGGUCCCUGCAAGAUGAGGUCACUGUCCUGAAGGCACGUAGCGGUUGGAGCGGAUUUUCACCCCAAGUCGGCCUAGCUAACAGACCCCACGAUGUCACCGUCACAUCCCCGGUCCGAGGGCAGUAGGCUAGGACGGGAGCGUGGGAGGUUGUGUUGUGUCACUCGGCUGAGCAGGAGCCCCGUUCCCCCAACUCCUUGUCCUACACGCUUGCAGCCAAGCCAAGCAGCCAGCCCAGGAGGUGUGUGGGCAGGCCUUGGGAGGCGGAGGAGGAGAAGCAGCCGCGUCCCCUUGCUGCGAGGGCUGCGGCAGCCCCGAGGCCCCGUUCUGGUUCUCUCUCCGCUGGCCCCCGGGAUCUCCUCCCCCAGCUGCCCUGACUCCUGGGCCGGGUCCACCGGCAGCUCCGGGACGCAGGGCACCCACAUCACGGAAGGGGCCGGCCGGAGGCACCGGGAGGCCGAUGCAGGUGCCGGCUCAUUCUCGUGGGCUCCGCUCACUCUCGCAGGGACCCCUGGACCGCCUGCCCUGUGGACCUCCGCGGCCGCACUGGACUAGGAUGGGUGACCAGCCAAUCUCUCACUGCCGCGGUCGCACAAUGCCAAAUCCCUACAAUAAAAGUGCUCAUCGUA